GGGGCAGCAUGAACUUAGCUUGCUAAGUUUGAUGGCGACCGGCGCACGGGUGAGUAACACGUAUCCAACCUUCCGUUUACUCAGGGAUAGCCUUUCGAAAGAAAGAUUAAUACCUGAUAGUAUGGUGAGAUUGCAUGAUAGCACCAUUAAAGAUUUAUUGGUAAACGAUGGGGAUGCGUUCCAUUAGGUAGUAGGCGGGGUAACGGCCCACCUAGCCGACGAUGGAUAGGGGUUCUGAGAGGAAGGUCCCCCACAUUGGAACUGAGACACGGUCCAAACUCCUACGGGAGGCAGCAGUGAGGAAUAUUGGUCAAUGGGCGAGAGCCUGAACCAGCCAAGUAGCGUGAAGGAUGAAGGUCCUACGGAUUGUAAACUUCUUUUAUACGGGAAUAAAGUAUCCUACGUGUAGGAUUUUGUAUGUACCGUAUGAAUAAGCAUCGGCUAACUCCGUGCCAGCAGCCGCGGUAAUACGGAGGAUGCGAGCGUUGUCCGGAUUUAUUGGGUUUAAAGGGAGCGCAGACGGGAGAUUAAGUCAGUUGUGAAAGUUUGCGGCUCAACCGUAAAAUUGCAGUUGAUACUGGUUUCCUUGAGUGCAGUUGAGGCAGGCGGAAUUCGUGGUGUAGCGGUGAAAUGCUUAGAUAUCACGAAGAA
rnacentral:rRNA from 1 species